rnacentral:rRNA from 1 species
CCUGGUUGAUCCUGCCAGUAGUCAUAUGCUUGUCUCAAAGAUUAAGCCAUGCAUGUGUAAGUAUAAGCAUUUAUACGGCGAAACUGCGAAUGGCUCAUUAAAUCAGUAAUAGUUUAUUUGAUAGUACCUUACUACUUGGAUAACCGUGGUAAUUCUAGAGCUAAUACAUGCUAAAAAUCCUGACUAAGGGCAACCUUGGAAGGGAUGUAUUUAUUAGAUUAAAAACCAAUACCGGGGCAACUCGGUUUUUUAGGUGAUUCAUAAUAACUUUGCGAAUCGUAUGGCUUUACGCUGACGAUGAUUCAUUCAAAUUUCUGCCCUAUCAACUGGAUGGUAGGAUAGAGGCCUACCAUGGUUGUAACGGGUAACGGAGGAUUAGGGUUCGAUUCCGGAGAGGGAGCAUGAGAAACGGCUACCACAACUAAGGUUAGGCAGCAGGCGCGCAAAUUACCCAAUCCCGACACGGGGAGGUAGUGACAAGAAAUAACAAUACAGGGCUAUUUUGGUCUUGUAAUUGGAAUGAGAACAUUUUUAAUCCCUUAUCGAGGAUCAAUUGGAGGGCAAGUCUGGUGCCAGCAGCCGCGGUAAUUCCAGCUCCAAUAGCGUAUAUUAAAGUUGCUGCAGUUAAAAAGCUCGUAGUUGGAUUUUGGACUUGCUUCGAUAAAAACUGGAGGACAAACGUAGGGGGUUAACUCUUGCGUUUGCUUUCCUCCUUUUCCGGUCGUGUCGCAAGGCAUGUUUACUGGCGGAGCAGGUCUUCUUUCUGAAGAUCUGGCAUGUUCUUUACUGGAUGUGUCAGGGAUUCAGGACUUUUACUUUGAAAAAAUUAGAGUGUUCAAAGCAGGCUUUUAUGCUUGAAUAUCUCAGCAUGGAAUAAUAAAAGAAGACUUUGGUCUUAUUUUGUUGGUUUCUGGGACCGAGGUAAUGAUUAAUAGGGAUAGUUGGGGUGGUUCGUAUUUAAUUGUCAGAGGUGAAAUUCUUGGAUUUAUGAAAGACGAACUUCUGCGAAAGCAUUCCACAAGGAUGUUUUCAUUAAUCAAGAACGAAAGUUAGGGGAUCGAAGACGAUCAGAUACCGUCGUAGUCUUAACCAUAAACUAUGCCGACUAGGGAUCAGCGGAUGUUAUUUUAACGACUCCGUUGGCACCUUAUGAGAAAUCAAAGUUUUUGGGUUCCGGGGGAAGUAUGGUCGCAAGGCUGAAACUUAAAGGAAUUGACGGAAGGGCACCACCAGGAGUGGAGCCUGCGGCUUAAUUUGACAACACGGGGAAACUCACCAGGUCCAGACAUGGGAAGGAUUGACAGACC